AGAGUUUGAUCCUGGCUCAGAAUGAACGCUGGCGGCGUGCCUAACACAUGCAAGUCGAGCGAGAAAGUGACUUCGGUCAUGAGUACAGCGGCGGACGGGUGAGUAACACGUAGAUAACCUACCUAGGGGUGGGGGAUAACUCGGGGAAACCUGAGCUAAUACCGCAUAAGUUGCCCGGACUGCGGUCCGGGUCGGAAAGGUGACCUCUUCAUGAAAGUUGCCGCUCCUAGAGGGGUCUGCGUCUGAUUAGCUUGUUGGUGGGGUAAUGGCCUACCAAGGCUUCGAUCAGUAGCCGGCCUGAGAGGGUGAUCGGCCACACUGGAACUGAGACACGGUCCAGACUCCUACGGGAGGCAGCAGUGGGGAGUAUUGCGCAAUGGGGGAAACCCUGACGCAGCAACGCCGCGUGGAGGAUGAAGGCUUUCGGGUCGUAAACUCCUGUCAGGUGGGAAGAAAAGGCUCUGGUCAAUACCCAGGGCUGUUGACGGUACCACCAGAGGAAGCCCCGGCUAACUCCGUGCCAGCAGCCGCGGUAAUACGGGGGGGGCAAGCGUUAUUCGGAAUUAUUGGGCGUAAAGGGCGCGCAGGCGGCCUGACAAGUCAAAGGUGAAAUCCCUCGGCCCAACCGAGGAACUGCCUUUGAAACUGU
rnacentral:rRNA from 1 species